rnacentral:rRNA from 1 species
GAAACUGAAGGCGGAUUUAGCAGUAUAUUAAGAACAAAAAUACUUAAUUGAAACCAACGCAAUGGGGUGCGCACACACCGCCCGUCACCCUGCCACCAAAACAACACAUAUAUAAUAGCUACACAUACACUAACCAGGGCAAGUCGUAACAUGGUAAGCGUACUGGAAAGUGCGCUUAGAAACAAAAAGUAGCUUACAAAAAGCAUUUGGCCUACAACCGAAAGACAUUAUACUAAUCUUUUUGAGCCUAUAACAACACACAAACAUACACCAUAGAAAAACAAAACAUUUGACUAACUCAGUAGAUGAGAUCGAACAGUAAAUACAACCAGUACCGCAAGGGAGACAAAUAAGCAACGAACAGCAAAGAUUAACCCUUGUACCUUUCGCAUCAUGGUCUAGCAAGAAACCAAAGACAAGAAGAAUCAUAGCCUCCACCCCGAAAUCAGAUGAGCUACUUUCAAGCAGCCAAGUGGGCACACCCUUCUCUGUA